AGAAGAUGGAGCCCGCUAGUAACCCUAAUUCUGCUUAAUCGAAGAAACGAAGUUUGUCUUUUCCCUUCGUGUGAUGGCGACGCGGUGACUUUUGCUCUUCUUCUCACCAUCUGAAACGGCCCCAGUUAUGGCUUUGUGUUUAAUCCCAUUGAUUCACUCGCCACGAUGAGGUCUUCAAUGCAUCGUUUAGAUCUGAGAGUCGGCUUUCGCGAUUUCGGUUUGAACGGAAUUGUGUACAACAUCGAAGGAUACCUCUUGCUGGUCUUGGUGGUGAGAGCAACACAUGGAAGAUGUUUAAGGUCGACGAAGAAACCGGGACGGCGAGUAUUGUGUUGAUGAAUAGAGAUCUAGCUGCGGCAGAUGUGAUGUUGAGGAGACGGGGAGAGAUACGGUUGUAGUGGUGUGCCAGAAGAAGCUUUGGUUUGUUCAGAGCCAAGAUAAAUAUGGAUAUAAAAAAUCAGGCAAGUGAUCAUCAAUUGCUUAUCAGUACAGAGGAUGUGUUUUCCCUUUUGCACUUGGAGAUUAAUGUUACUGAAGCGAUUCUGAGCAGAACCUUCUUCAAGCUUCCGGGUUUCAGGAAAUCGUGUCAACCCGGAUUGUAAACCUUAAGAGGAGGAACUAAGCAUAUGUCUGCCAAGAUUAGCCAAUAUUGUGACCGUCAAAUGAGUGAUGUCGUUUCAAUGCUUUGCUGGAACAGAGUCUGGCCUAAAUAGCUUUACAGGGUUGUUGGUGCGUCGAAGAUGGUUUGGUUGGUUCAACUAUUAGCUAACUCGGUGAAGAUGGGCUUGCAAAUCUUUCACGCGGAGGAAGACAACGGAUCUGAUCCUGUUUACAUGGAAGCAACUGGUGACCGGUUUAAGGAUUUGGUUCGAGCUAUGCUUCAACCAGUUCUAAUAUUGGUGACAUUAAAAUUAGGAAUGACUUUUGUGAGUAAAUAAUUGGAAGCUGGCAAUGACUUUUACGAUGAAAUGUAAGAUAUGUGCAUUUUUCAU